rfam:Alternaria alternata strain SRC1lrK2f unplaced genomic scaffold CC77scaffold_32, whole genome shotgun sequence.
GGGCUUGUGGUUUAGUGGUAUAAUACUCCCUUAGCAUCAGUUCCUGAGCGUUACAACGCACAGGAUCAGCUUGGGAGUGGUCCAGGGUUCGAUUCCCUGCAAGUCCA